rnacentral:rRNA from 1 species
UGGGGAAUCUUGGACAAUGGGCGCAAGCCUGAUCCAGCCAUGCCGCGUGGAUGAUGAAGGCCUUAGGGUUGUAAAAUCCUUUCGUGGGGGACGAUAAUGACGGUACCCCAAGAAGAAGCUCCGGCUAACUUCGUGCCAGCAGCCGCGGUAAUACGAAGGGGGCUAGCGUUGUUCGGAAUUACUGGGCGUAAAGCGCACGUAGGCGGAUUUGUCAGUCAGGGGUGAAAUCCCGGGGCUCAACCUCGGAACUGCCUUUGAUACAGCAAGUCUUGAGUCCGAUAGAGGUGAGUGGAAUUCCUAGUGUAGAGGUGAAAUUCGUAGAUAUUAGGAAGAACACCGGUGGCGAAGGCGGCUCACUGGAUCGGU